rnacentral:rRNA from 1 species
GGGGAAUAUUGCACAAUGGGGGAAACCCUGAUGCAGCGACGCCGCGUGGAGGAAGAAGGUCUUCGGAUUGUAAACUCCUGUUGUUGAGGAAGAUAAUGACGGUACUCAACAAGGAAGUGACGGCUAACUACGUGCCAGCAGCCGCGGUAAAACGUAGGUCACAAGCGUUGUCCGGAAUUACUGGGUGUAAAGGGAGCGCAGGCGGGAAGACAAGUUGGAAGUGAAAUCCAUGGGCUCAACCCAUGAACUGCUUUCAAAACUGUUUUUCUUGAGUAGUGCAGAGGUAGGCGGAAUUCCCGGUGUAGCGGUGGAAUGCGUAGAUAUCGGGAGGAACACCAGUGGCGAAGGCGGCCUACUGGGCACCAACUGACGCUGAGGCUCGAAAGUGUGGGUAGCAAACAGGAUUAGAUACCCUGGUAGUCCACACCGUAAACGAUGAUUACUAGGUGUUGGAGGAUUGACCCCUUCAGUGCCGCAGUUAACACAAUAAGUAAUCCACCUGGGGAGUACGACCGCAAGGUUGAAACUCAAAGGAAUUGACGGGGGCCCGCACAAGCAGUGGAGUAUGUGGUUUAAUUCGACGCAACGCGAAGAACCUUACCAAGUCUUGACAUCCCUUGACGAUGCUGGAAACAGUAUUUCUCUUCGGAGCAAGGAGACAGGUGGUGCAUGGUUGUCGUCAGCUCGUGUCGUGAGAUGUUGGGUUAAGUCCCGCAACGAGCGCAACCCUUAUGGUCAGUUACUACGCAAGAGGACUCUGGCCAGACUGCCGUUGACAAAACGGAGGAAGGUGGGG